AUUGAAUUCUUUCAUGAUUGUGAUGCUUGUCACAUAAAAGGAGAACUGAGCUAUGAUGAGACUGUAGCAUUUGUUAACGAUAAUCUGAAGAAGAGAACAUGCUGUAAUUUUAUUCGCCAGGACCUGCAGCUAUGGAGUGUGGAUGACCUGGGGAGAGAGAGUGGUCAUCACAACAUUGCUCUCAAUUAUCAUAAUUUCCUCUUCCAAAGGUUGACAAUUAUUGUCCAAACAUCCCCUAUUUGAUCUUGCAUA